UGCUUAACACAUGCAAGUCGAGCGAGAAAGGGGAGCAAUCCCUGAGUAAAGCGGCGGACGGGUGAGUAACACGUGGGUAAUCUACCCGGAUGUGGGGGAUACCUCGCCGAAAGGCGAGCUAAUACCGCAGACAGAUCCCCGGGACUUCGGUCCUGGUGAUCAAAGCGGGGGUCGCAAGACCUCGCGCUUCCGGAGGAGCCCGCGCCCGAUUAGCUAGUUGGCGAGGUAAUGGCUCACCAAGGCGACGAUCGGUAGCCGGCCUGAGAGGGUGAUCGGCCACACUGGAACUGAGACACGGUCCAGACUCCUACGGGAGGCAGCAGUGGGGAAUCUUGCGCAAUGGGCGAAAGCCUGACGCAGCAACGCCGCGUGGAGGAUGAAGGUCCUUGGAUUGUAAACUCC
rnacentral:rRNA from 1 species